CUGUGCCCGAGGAAGCCUUGGUCUACCCAUAAAUCAUCGUUCACUUUUUCGCGCUUUUUUCAAGAAUUUCGUCUCUCGUUGCAAGAUUUCAGUGUAGCGGCUGUGAUCGCAUCUUACUGUACAUGGAAUCCUCUUCUGUAACAAAUGGUGUAGAGCACGGAAUAGCUUGUCACCCAGUUCGCAAACCUCUUCCAGGGCAGGUAAAGUUUAUAUUAAGCUUAUAUAGUUUGUGAAUGAUUUGUAGGAACGGCUAUAAUGAGUUCAAUAUUUUAUUGGCUGAAUUUUUAUGUCAAAUAGUCAUUGACUUAAUACUGUCAAACCCAUGACUCAAUGAAUAAGUUUGAUUUUUGACUGCAAGAAAUUGCAGUGCAAACGUAAAGCUCCUGAUAAAACAUAGGUCAAUAGCACCGUACUUCAAAUAAUUGCCUUCUUAUUGACUCUGUGAAUUAAGAAAGUAGUCUGUGCACCAGAAGGUUAUUUUGGGAGAAAUUAAAGUCAUCAUGUGAAAUCCAUUUCCAUAGUGACUCCAAAUAUAUGUCUCUGCACUUUAAAAAGCUCAACAUUACAUUUCAUCUUAAGGCCAUUUGUUUGUCUGCAAAUUGCCUUGGACCAUUCAUGAAGUUUAGAGAAAUUAUUCUGAACUUUUGCAAACGAACAACAUGAAUGGGAUUGAACCAUAGAAGAUCGAUUGUUGUUAGUGACAUAUGUAGGGCGCAUGCGCAUGGAAGGCCUCUCUGACAAAUCUAGCUUAUAUAUACUUUUUGGCUUCUUUAUUCAGUUUGAUAACAAAGCCCUUCUAUACCACUAAGCUUUAACUGGAAGGUGAACUGGUAAAGGUGAAUGAUCUAAGGUUUACUGUGUUGUGAAAGCACAGAAAAACCAUAAAAAGUUUACGGAUGAUAGAUCCAACCAUCUGAGUUUAAAAUGUAACAAUAUUGCAUGUACCUGACUUUUCGGUCACGGAACAAAACCUGUUGAAUACAAAUUGUUAACAAAAAGUUUGCAGAUUACUUUGAGCCACAAAGUGGCUAAAAAGUGGGUCAGUUUUUAUUGAAAGAUCUGAUGAGGAAAUGCUGAUUGUAUAGUAGGCACUAAAAAAUAUUGAAAUAUAUAUAGUAAACACCCAGGAAGAUAAGAGUUUGGAGCAACCCAAAGCAUUCAACUUUGGACUCUUUUAAAGUACCUUGGAUGAGAUUGAACAUCAAAAUUAACUACUGGGCCUGGCCAUAUAUGCCUUCUCAAAUAUCUAGAAGGUGUCGCUGGUGCAAAGGCAAAAGGAAAUAACAAAAACAAAUCAACAAUUUAUUUAUUCAUUUAUAUAAAUAAAUAUAAUAAAUGCAUAAAAUAAAUAAGCGAAAAAUGAAUAAAAAAUAAAAAUAAAAUAAGACAAAAUAAAAAAACAAACAAACAAAAAAUAAAUUUAAUAAAUAAUUCAAAUCAAAUAAAUAAAUGCAGUAGCAGAUCUAUGGGGGUUGUUGAUAAAUG